rnacentral:rRNA from 1 species
UACGUAGGGGGCAAGCGUUGUCCGGAUUUAUUGGGCGUAAAGAGCGUGUAGGCGGCUUGGCAAGUCCGCUGUGAAAACUCGAGGCUCAACCUCGAGACGUCGGUGGAAACUGCCUCGCUAGAGUCCGGAAGAGGAGAGUGGAAUUCCUGGUGUAGCGGUGAAAUGCGCAGAUAUCAGGAAGAACACCCGUGGCGAAGGCGGCUCUCUGGGACGGUACUGACGCUGAGACGCGAAAGCGUGGGGAGCGAACAGG